rnacentral:rRNA from 1 species
CUAAUCCUGUUUGCUACCCACGCUUUCGUACCUCAGCGUCAGUAUUGGUCCAGAAAGUUGCCUUCGCCAUUGAUGUUCCUUCUGAUAUCUACGCAUUUCACCGCUACACCAGAAAUUCCACUUUCCUCUACCAUACUCUAGUUGACCAGUUUCAAAUGCAGUUCCCAGGUUAAGCCCGGGGCUUUCACAUCUGACUUAAUAAACCGCCUACGCACGCUUUACGCCCAGUAAUUCCGAUUAACGCUUGCACCCUCCGUAUUACCGCGGCUGCUGGCACGGAGUUAGCCGGUGCUUCUUCUAAAGUUAACGUCAAGGCUAAUGGCUAUUAACCACUAGCUUUUCUUCACAAUUGAAAGUGCUUUACAACCCUCAGGCCUUCUUCACACACGCGGUAUUGCUGGAUCAGGGUUGCCCCCAUUGUCCAAUAUUCCCCACUGCUGCCUCCCGUAGGAGUUCGGGCCGUGUCUCAGUCCCGAUGUGGCUGAUCAUCCUCUCAGACCAGCUAAAGAUCGUCGCCUUGGUAGGCUUUUACCCUACCAACUAGCUAAUCUUACGCAGGCUCAUCUGAUAGCGUGAGGCUCGAAAGUCCCCCACUUUACUACGAAUAGAUUAUGCGGUAUUAAUCCGAAUUUCUUCGGGCUAUCCCCCACUAUCAGGUAGAUUCCUACGCGUUACUCACCCGUCCGCCACUCGACGCCUACUAGCAAGCUAGUAUCGUUUCCGUUCGACUUGCAUGUGUUAAGCAUACCGCCAGCGUUCAAUCUGAGCCAGGAUCAAACUCU